UACGGGGGGGGCAAGCGUUGUUCGGAAUUACUGGGCGUAAAGGGCUCGUAGGCGGCCAACUAAGUCAUACGUGAAAUCCCUCGGCUUAACCGGGGAACUGCGUCUGAUACUGGAUGGCUUGAGUUCGGGAGAGGGAUGCGGAAUUCCAGGUGUAGCGGUGAAAUGCGUAGAUAUCAGGAAGAACACCGGUGGCGAAGGCGGCUCUCUGGGCCUUACCUGACGCUGAGGAGCGAAAGCGUGGGUAGCGAACAGG
rnacentral:rRNA from 1 species